GCAAGGCUACAGUGUUUUUGUGCCUGCUAGAGCUACAGUGUUUUUGUGCCUGCUAGUUGGUUGGUAAACAGGACGUUGUGAUUAGCAAAACAAAAGCAACUAAGAGCCACCUGUGUC